GUGCCAGCCGCCGCGUAAUACGAAGGGGGCUAGCGUUGCUCGGAAUUACUGGGCGUAAAGGGCGCGUAGGCGGCUUAGUUAGUCAGGCGUGAAAUUCCUGGGCUCAACCUGGGGACUGCGCUUGAUACGGCUAGGCUAGAGGAUGGAAGAGGGUCGCGGAAUUCCCAGUGUAGAGGUGAAAUUCGUAGAUAUUGGGAAGAACACCGGUGGCGAAGGCGGCGACCUGGUCCAUUACUGACGCUGAGGCGCGACAGCGUGGGGGAGCAAACAGGAUUAGAUACCCUGGUAGUCCACGCCGUAAACGAUGUGCGCUGGAUGUUGGGUGGCCUAGCCACUCAGUGUCGUAGCUAACGCGGUAAGCCCCCCGCCUGGGGGAGUACGGCCGCAAGUUUGAAACUCAAAGGAAUUGACGGGGGCCCGCACAAGCGGGGGAGCAUGUGGUUUAUUUCGAAGCAACGCGCAAAACCUUACCAGCCCUUGACAUGGUCACGACUGGUUCAGAGAUGGACUUUCCCCCGCAAGGGGCGUGAUGCACAGGGUGCUGCAUGGCUGUCGUCAGCUCGUGCCGUGAGAUGUUGGGUUAAGUCCCGCAAGAGCGCAACCCUCGUUUUUAUUUGCCAGCACGUUUGGGUGGGCACUCUAGAGGAAUCUGCCGGUAACAAGCCGGGAGAAGGGUGGGAUGACGUCAAGUCUCAUGGCCCUAUAUGGGCUGGGCUAACACGUGCUACAAUGGCGUGACAUGGGAGCAGGUUAGCGAUACGAGCGAUCCAAAAGGCUGUCUCAGUCAGAUCGCAUUCUGCACUCGAUGCGUGAAG
rnacentral:rRNA from 1 species